AUGAACCCCUCCUCGGCUCCGGGCCCGGAUGGAUUGCCAGUAUUGUUCUUUGAAACAUUCUGGCAAACCAUCAAACCAGAGGUCAUGGCCCUCUUCGACGAGUUCUUCUCUAGGUCCAUGGACCUUGGGCGCCUGAACUAUGGGAUCAUUAGCCUCAUCCCAAAGGUUCCUGGGGCCUCGGACAUCCGCCAGUUCCGCCCGAUCACCGUGAUUAACGUGAUCUUCAGGAUCCUGGCCAAAGGGUACGCCAAUAGGGUGACCCUUCUUGCGAACUCUGUCACCCACCCCAACCAAUCCGCCUUCAUCCAAGGCCGAUUUAUUUUUGAUGGGGUGUUGGUCUUUCACGAAGUCCUCCAUGAAGUUUGA
rnacentral:rRNA from 1 species